UAGGGAAUCUUCGGCAAUGGGGGCAACCCUGACCGAGCAACGCCGCGUGAGUGAAGAAGGUUUUCGGAUCGUAAAGCUCUGUUGUAAGAGAAGAACGUGUGUGAGAGUGGAAAGUUCACACAGUGACGGUAACUUACCAGAAAGGGACGGCUAACUACGUGCCAGCAGCCGCGGUAAUACGUAGGUCCCGAGCGUUGUCCGGAUUUAUUGGGCGUAAAGCGAGCGCAGGCGGUUUAAUAAGUCUGAAGUUAAAGGCAGUGGCUUAACCAUUGUUCGCUUUGGAAACUGUUAAACUUGAGUGCAGAAGGGGAGAGUGGAAUUCCAUGUGUAGCGGUGAAAUGCGUAGAUAUAUGGGGGAACACCGGUGGCGAAGGCGGCUCUCUGGUCUGUAACUGACGCUGAGGCUCGAAAGCGUGGGGAGCAAACAGG
rnacentral:rRNA from 1 species